GAUGAACGCUAGCGACAGGCUUAACACAUGCAAGUCGAGGGGCAGCGGGGAGGUAGCAAUACUUCCGCCGGCGACCGGCGCACGGGUGAGUAACACGUAUGGAACCUGCCCGUAGCAGGGGGAUAAGCGGAAGAAAUUCCGUCUAAUACCGCGUAACAACCCUUGGAGGCAUCUCCCCGGGGUUUAAAGGAAGCGAUUCCGGCUACGGAUGGUCAUGCGUCGCAUUAGCUAGUUGGCGGGGUAACGGCCCACCAAGGCGACGAUGCGUAGGGGUUCUGAGAGGAAGGUCCCCCACACUGGUACUGAGACACGGACCAG
rnacentral:rRNA from 1 species